rnacentral:rRNA from 1 species
GAUCCUGGCUCAGGAUGAACGCUGGCGGCGUGCCUAAUACAUGCAAGUCGAGCGAACUGACGAGGAGCUUGCUCCUUUGACGUUAGCGGCGGACGGGUGAGUAACACGUGGGUAACCUACCUAUAAGACUGGAAUAACUCCGGGAAACCGGGGCUAAUGCCGGAUAACAUGUUGAACCGCAUGGUUCAACAGUGAAAGACGGUCUUGCUGUCACUUAUAGAUGGACCCGCGCCGUAUUAGCUAGUUGGUAAGGUAACGGCUUACCAAGGCGACGAUACGUAGCCGACCUGAGAGGGUGAUCGGCCACACUGGAACUGAGACACGGUCCAGACUCCUACGGGAGGCAGCAGUAGGGAAUCUUCCGCAAUGGGCGAAAGCCUGACGGAGCAACGCCGCGUGAGUGAUGAAGGUCUUCGGAUCGUAAAGCUCUGUUGUUAGGGAAGAACAUAUGUGUAAGUAACUGUGCACAUCUUGACGGUACCUAACCAGAAAGCCAGGGGUUAA